GCGGGUGACGAUAGCGAAGGGGCCAUACCCGUUCCCAUUCCGAACACGGUCGUCAAGCCCUUCGCGCCGAUGAUACUGGUCGCAACCGGGAAAGUAGGUCAUCGCCCGCA
rnacentral:rRNA from 1 species